AUGUCCAGGUCCGAAUCCCACUUGGCCUUCUUCGGCUGCUCUUCCUUGCCAUUGCCGGAAGAUGCCAAUUGGCGAAUGCAUCAGCCCACGGAAGCAGCGGGGAGGCUUCUCUUUUCGGAGAAAAAAAAGGCGGCCUUGCUGCGGUGCGAGUGGCCGCACGGGUUGGAGCCAAUGGGUGGUCGUGGCCUUCACGAUCUGGUCCAGAUCUGCAAUCACUCACCACUCGAAAGAUGCCCUGAAGUAACUUCAACAUAUGAAGGUGUUGAGAUUGUCGUACUGCACAGAGCUUCAAUCUUUACCGGGUCUGUCACCCUCACUGAAAACACUUCAUAUCUUUGGGUGCCACCCAGCGUUGUCCAGUCUGUCAAGAAACAGGAACGGGAAUUAUGUUGGGAAGAUUGCAAUUGUACCUAG
rnacentral:rRNA from 1 species